CGGGUGCUAACGUCCGUCGUGAAGAGGGAAACAACCCAGACCGCCAGCUAAGGUCCCAAAGUCAUGGUUAAGUGGGAAACGAUGUGGGAAGGCCCAGACAGCCAGGAUGUUGGCUUAGAAGCAGCCAUCAUUUAAAGAAAGCGUAAUAGCUCACUGGUCGAGUCGGCCUGCGCGGAAGAUGUAACGGGGCUAAACCAUGCACCGAAGCUGCGGCAGCGAACGUAUCACCCAAGACAACUUUACGGAGUUGACGAUUGACGGAGCGAAGCGACGUCAAAGCGUUCAUUAAAGUCGAGUUGGCUUAGGGAUACGUUCGUUGGGUAGGGGAGCGUUCUGUAAGCCUGUGAAGGUGUGUCGUGAGGCAUGCUGGAGGUAUCAGAAGUGCGAAUGCUGACAUAAGUAACGAUAAAGCGGGUGAAAAGCCCGCUCGCCGGAAGACCAAGGGUUCCUGUCCAACGUUAAUCGGGGCAGGGUGAGUCGACCCCUAAGGCGAGGCCGAAAGGCGUAGUCGAUGGGAAACGGGUUAAUAUUCCCGUACUUGGUGUUACUGCGAAGGGGGGACGGAGAAGGCUAUGUUGGCCGGGCGACGGUUGUCCCGGUUUAAGCGUGUAGGUGUGUGUUCCAGGUAAAUCCGGUUCACUUUAACACUGAGGCGUGACGACGAGGCACUACGGUGCUGAAGCAACAAAUGCCCUGCUUCCAGGAAAAGCCUCUAAGCAUCAGGUAACACGAAAUCGUACCCCAAACCGACACAGGUGGUCAGGUAGAGAAUACCAAGGCGCUUGAGAGAACUCGGGUGAAGGAACUAGGCAAAAUGGUGCCGUAACUUCGGGAGAAGGCACGCUGACACGUAGGUGAAGUGAUUUACUCAUGGAGCUGAAGUCAGUCGAAGAUACCAGCUGGCUGCAACUGUUUAUUAAAA
rnacentral:rRNA from 1 species